AAUGCUGCAUCCUUAACCCACUGAGUGAGGCCAGGGAUCGAACCCUCAUCCUCAUGGAUCCUAGUCACGUUUGCUACCUGCUGAGCCACGAUGGGAGCUUGUCCACGGUCCUCUUUUUCUCUAGCCUAAACAAAACCUCCGCUGAAAAAAAGUACCCGCUAUCAGUCAUUUACACUCUAGCAUGAUUGAGCCCCAGCUCUUAUCAUCACAGAACCGAGGCCGUGACUGGAGCCAUUUCAGGACUAAGUGGAACAGCUGUAGGAUGUAUUUGGGAAAGGCAAGACAAAAGAGUCAUUCUGCCCGCUUGGGUUAAAACGGUGGUUUCGAUUUCACAACAUCAUGUGAGAAGGGGAACUUCCGGGUGCGCUGUGUUACAGUCCGUUUCAACAGCUGCCACGGGGAGGAAGCAGCACCGGUCAAGAGCUGGGCUUGGGAAAAGCCUGAAAACCAUCAGUCCUUGUGGCACCUGGCAAACACCAGCCUGCCCCGAGCUGAACAGAGCAUCAAGGCCAGAACCACAAUCCUGACCCAUCUGUCUCAAAGAAAGGAUUUCCGGUUGUUUGUGGGGAUGGGUCAUCCCCGAAACAGCUCUCCUUCAGCCCUGGAACCCAGAGGGAGGCUGACUAUUCCUGCGGCGGGGGCGCACACUCCUGUUUAACUCCACAGAGUGGGAGGCGUGUGGGCCCCGUCGGGUCCCCGCGCGGCUCCACCCCCAUCGCAGGUACAGCAGGGCUGUGGACUCUUCUCUGGCCUUUGGUCUCCUCCUCGGUAGGACGCUUGGACGAAACGAUCCCCCAGGCCUUCCAGCUCCGCGAGCCCAUGAUUAAUAAAACUCAGAUACACCA